GCUAAAUAUCUGUCGACAGAUAUUUUUGGAAAAAUCUGUCGAAUUCUCGUGCGUGUGAUUUGUGCUUUGAGAUAUGUGCUCUCUCUGUCUCGUUUGUCAGUCGUCAAUGGUUUUGUGGUGUUAACGGGUUCGUCGCGCCUCACCCGAAACCCGUGAGCCAUGGAAAUUUUUGGAAAUCGCGCCCUUUUUUUUCUCGCCGCACCACCGACUGCUCAGCUUCUCUGGUUCACUUAUUUUAUCCUCUUUUCUCGAAUCUGCAGAGAUUAGCCUCUCACUCCCCUCUAUCUCUCCCCCUCACGAAGUUGAAGCAGACGAGGCGAAUCUGCGGAGAGGAGGAGGCUGACCGGCACACGCGCCAUGCCGGAUGCGGCGCCAGCCCGUUGUCCUCCUCACCGGCGAAUCGACAGAGGGGAGGAGGCUGACCGGCGGCGACGCGCCUUGCGAGAUGCGGCACCGGCCCGUCGUCCUCCUCACCCAUACUUCCCCACCCCGCGGCUCUCAUCACCACCGCCGGCGCCGCUCCAGCACAGCUCCCCCACUCCGUGCGCCCCUUCCUCCGUCAGAUCUGAGGUGCUUCUAGACAAUUUAAACUUCAAGAUUACCACGAAGAAACAUGAAGUCACCUUCAAGCUGUUCAAGACCAAGUAGUUUUGUGUAGUAGGAGUUGUGCUGCUAUGUAAUUAAUUUGUUUUUUGUAAAUACAUUUAUAUUUUGUAUCUUUGAAUUGGUCGCCUUUUAUGUAAUAAUGAACAUAUUGGGUAUUUUGGUUGAGCUCUAAUAUAUUAGCUUGUUAUAAUU